CACAGCCUCUGUUCUUCCCCCCCAGCCCCACCUCCAGUGUUCUGAAGCUGAAGACAGACCUGUGACAUUCACCUUCCCCAACUAGUCCUAGAAAAAGAGGCAAAACUCCCUGGAAAGUCUUCCACAGCUGUUUUACCUAGGUCCAUCACAUCAGCCAGCCUGACCCCCCACCAUCUUAUAGAGUGCAUUCUUCUCUCUGGCCAACUGGUCUUCUCCCGGUCUCCCACAUACACCUCUGCUCCUGCUACUGCUCCCUGCUGGAAAGAGUCCUUGCCUCCACCUAUCGCAAGGCUGAUUGAUUGGGAAAGAGUGCCAUGCUGUGAGUGAGGAGAUUUGAUUUGUAACCCAUGUUCAAAACCUUUCUAUCUGAAAGUCCAAGAACUUCAGGACAAGAUAGAAGUUGUGCUGGUGUGCACCUACCUUUCCAUAGAGCUUGCCAGAGCACAGUGAGUCCCAACUUCUGGAUUGUUACACUUGAUGCAAAUGGAUUACAAGUUCCUGAGAUACUGAUUCCUCAACUCUGUAGAGCUGAUGCUGCCAAAGGUUCCAGGGCCCCUUGCCUCUGAUUAUGAGUAAUAUUAUCCAUUUAUGGCAGUAUGUUACAAUUACUGCCAUUUUUCUACUAUGGCCAAUAAAACACAAAAAUUGAGGAAGCGUGGAUCCACCUUAGCAAUCUGUAUCAUAGAUGGUGAAUAAUCCAUCAGCAUGCUCUGGAAACAAGCGGCAGAGGCACCAACACAAACUGGCUUGACCAGUAAGGAAAUACAUUAAAAGUCCAAUUAGAACCAAUUAAAUGUUUAAGAGACCUCUCUUCUCUCGAUCUUUGUCCUCAGUGGAGCCUGACUUUGACCUCAGGCUGCCUUCCCUUAAGGUACCCACACACCUAUGGUAGUUUCAAUCUUCUCUGCAGCCUCUCCCUCCUCAGUCAGAGAGAGAGGGGAGGCUGCCAUUUCUGUUGGCCGGCUCUUUGGACUGAAGAAACUGCUCUCAAAGUCCCUGACAGACCUCUCCUCACUGGACUGAAUUGAACCCCGUGCCCCUUCCUGGACCAGUCUGGCCAAGGAUAUCCAACUACCCCCUUUAUAUCAUGGUAAUAUGAGCCACCCGUGACUGUACAGUCUGGAGACCCUGCAGCAGAAUUGCUCUAGUCCAUCCUGGAAAACGUGUCCAGAAAGUUGUGGAUGUGAUGUGAUAAUUGUUUUAUUCCCUGAUACAUAUGUAUUAAAACUGUACCUAGUUAAUUUUU